AGUGUACGUAACUAAACCUGCUA
rnacentral:siRNA from 1 species